rnacentral:rRNA from 1 species
AGCAGCCGCGGUAAUUCCAGCUCCAAUAGCGUAUAUUAAAGUUGUUGCAGUUAAAAAGCUCGUAGUUGAAUUUCGGGAUCAAUACGUCGGUCGUGCUUUCGGGUACGUACUGGCGUCAUUGGUUUCUCCUUUCUGACGAACCAUGAUGUCAUUUAUUUGGUGUUGUGGGGAAUCAGGACUGUUACUUUGAAAAAAUUAGAGUGUUUAAAGCAGGCUCACGCUUGAAUACAUUAGCAUGGAAUAAUGAAAUAGGACGUUUGAUUCUAUUUUGUUGGUUUCUAGGAUCGACGUAAUGAUUAAUAGGGAUAGUUGGGGGCAUUAGUAUUCAAUUGUCGGAGGUGAAAUUCUUGGAUUUAUUGAAGACUAACUACUGCGAAAGCAUUUGCCAAGGAUGUUUUCAUUAAUCAAGAACGAAAGUUAGGGGAUCGAAGACGAUCAGAUACCGUCGUAGUCUUAACCAUAAACUAUGCCGACUAGGGAUCGGAUGAUGUUAAUUUUUAAUGUACUCAUUCGGCGCCUU